rnacentral:rRNA from 1 species
ACUAAUUGAGAUAGGGCCUGUCAAAGGGUACCAAACUCAGUUAAACUCCGAAUGCUAUUAAAUGAUGAAUAGGAGUGAGGCUAUGGGCGAUAAGGUUCAUAGUCGAGAGGGAAACAACCCAGACCAACAGCUAAGGUCUCAAAAAUGUGUUAAGUGGAAAAGGAGGUUUAGGUACGUAAACAGCCAGGAGGUUGGCUUAGAAGCAGCCAUACCUUUAAAGAGUGCGUAAUAGCUCACUGGUCGAGUACUUAAGCGCCGAUAAUGUAACGGGGCUAAACACAUUACCGAAGCUUUGGAUCUUGACGAAAGUUAAGAUGGUAGGGGAGCGUUCUGUAAGCCAGAGAAGUUAAGCUGGAAAGUUUGAUGGAGGUAUCAGAAGUGAGAAUGCAGGUAUGAGUAACGAAAAAAUGGGUGAGAUCCCCAUUCGCCGAAAACCUAAGGUUUCCUGGGUAAAGGUCGUCUUCCCAGGGUUAGUCGGCCCCUAAGGCAAAGCUGAAAAGUGUAGUCGAUGGGAAACGGGUUAAUAUUCCCGUACCUCUUAUAGUUUCGAUGGAGUGACGCAUGAGGUUAACUACUGCUAGGCGAUGGUUGUUCUAGUUUAAGCAUUAAGGUUAUGAUCUUAAUAGGAAAAUCCGUUAAGAGAGCUGAGAUGUGAUGAUGAGUGUUAUUUAGGUAGCAUGAAAUGUAGGUAGUCAAGGUGCCAAGAAAUAACUUCUAAGGUUAGGCUAUAAGGGACCGUACCGCAAACCGACACAGGUAGGUGGGAUGAAAAUUCUAAGGCGCGCGAGAGAAUCCACGUUAAGGAACUCUGCAAAAUACGUACGUAACUUCGGGAUAAGUACGACCUAAGCAAUUAGGUAGCAUAAAAAUGGUCCAAACGACUGUUUACCAAAAACACAGGUCUCUGCAAAUCUGUAAAGAGAAGUAUAGGGACUGACACCUGCCCGGUGCUGGAAGGUUAAGAGGAGAUGUUAGUUUAUUCGAAGCAUUGAAUUUAAGCCCCAGUAAACGGCGGCCGUAACUAUAACGGUCCUAAGGUAGCGAAAUUCCUUGUCGGGUAAGUUCCGACCCGCACGAAUGGUGUAACGAUUUGGACGCUGUCUCAACGUGGAGCUCGGUGAAAUUGAAGUAUCGGUGAAGAUGCCGAUUACUUGUGGUUAGACGGAAAGACCCCGUGAACCUUUACUAUAGCUUGGUAUUGAGAUUUGAUUAAAUAUGUGUAGGAUAGGUGGGAGACUUUGAAGCUAUCUCGUUAGGGAUAGUGGAGUCAAUCUUGAAAUACCACCCUUGUUUAAUUAAGUUUCUAACUUAUAGAAAUAUAAGGAGAGUGCCAGGUGGGUAGUUUGACUGGGGCGGUCGCCUCCUAAAGAGUAACGGAGGUGCGCAAAGGUUACCUUAGAGUGGUUGGAAAUCACUCUGUAAGUGUAAAGGCAUAAGGUAGCUUAACUGUAAGACUGACAAGUCGAACAGAUACGAAAGUAGGUCUUAGUGAUCUGGCGGUGGCAAGUGGAAGCGCCGUCACUUAACGAAUAAAAGGUACUCCGGGGAUAACAGGCUUAUCCUUCCCAAGAGUUCACAUCGACGGAAGGGUUUGGCACCUCGAUGUCGGCUCAUCGCAUCCUAGGGCUGGAGCAGGUCCUAAGGGUAUGGCUGUUCGCCAUUUAAAGCGGUACGCGAGCUGGGUUCAGAACGUCGUGAGACAGUUUGGUCCCUAUCUGCCACAAGCGUUGGAUAUUUGAGAGGAGCUAUCUUUAGUACGAGAGGACCGAGAUGGACGAACCUCUAGUGUACCAGUUAUCCUGCCAAGGGUAAGUGCUGGGUAGCUACGUUCGGAAAGGAUAACCGCUGAAAGCAUCUAAGUGGGAAGCCUUCCUCAAGAUGAGAUAUCCUUUAAGGGUCCUGGAAGAAUACCAGGUUGAUAGGUUAGAAGUGUAAGUAUAGUAAUAUAUUAAGCUGACUAAUACUAAUUACCCGUGUCUUUGGCCAU